UUUUAGCCUUGCUAUGCAUGGCGGGCUCCCUGCACUUCUGUGCGGCCAACCCUCAUGUGGCUGUCUCUUCACUCUCCCUCCCGUCCACACAUUUGUGUAGGGUAGGGAUGCUUGUUAUCGGUGCCUGUAUGGUUCUACCCAUUCUUGGGUAGCGAAGAAGUCCCUUGAAAGUUUUUUUUUGCUUGCCCUACUGAUAUUCCAUUGUCGCUGGGGCAGCCGAAAUGUCGGUGAAAUCCUUGUGUUGUUGUGGGCGAAUGCCUUACUACCAUCACUUGGAUGUUUGUCGGCUCUCACGGAUGCUGUGCCCAUUGUUAGCUCUGCGGGAUGUCCCGCGGGCUUCGGGAGGUACCAUGUAUGUAUCAUUGCUCAACACCAAUCGACCGUCAUGUUGUGGAUGUCGACAUGUCGGAUCGGUGUGUGCGGGGCGUGCUUAUGUGCAUGUGGACUGCCUCCUUGAAUAAAUAAAGCAGCGAUUGCUAGUUUUCGUCAUGAGAAGGACCUCCCUUCUGGGGCGGUGCUGGACAUGACGUGCCGGCUCUCGUUUAAGACGUGC
rnacentral:misc_RNA from 1 species